GGGACGCUGGUUCCUUACGUAGUGUUCUCAACGAGUCGAGUUGUUUGGGAUUGCAGCUCCAAAAGGGUGGUAAAUUUCAUCUAAAGCUAAAUAUUGGCGAGAGACCGAUAGCGAACAAGUACUGUGAAGGAAAGAUGCAAAGAACUUUGAAAAGAGAGUUAAAAAGGGCUUGAAAUUGUUAAAAGGGAAGGAUUUGAAACCAGUGUUACGGGGCGCAUUAUCAGGUGAGCGGCCGGGCGAGGCGUGCGCGUAGUGACCGUCAAGGCCUGCGUGUACGUUUUCGUUCGACUGCUUGCUGCACUAUUGUGUCGCCGUGGUCAACAUCAUUUUGGCGUCCGGGAGAAAGCCGGGAGACAGUUCCUACACCUCGGUGCAGGAGUCCUUCCGCGCAUAUGCCGGGUACUAGAAUGAGGAAAUGCAGUGUGCGCCUAGCGAGGCGGCCGUUCGCUGGCGUUGGGUGUCUCGGGACGCAGAACCUAGUUGUGCCCCCUUGCCCUGGUUCCACCGGUGCGGUGCAGUCAUCAGCACGCUCCAGAUGUCGACGAAAUGGUUUUAAAUCACCCGUCUUGAAACACGGACCAAGGAGUCUAACAUAUAUGCGAGUGUUAAGGUGACAAACCUUUGGACGCGCAAUGAAAGUGAAGGGCUGCUUCCGCAGCCUGAGGUAGGAUCCUCGGCCUUCGGGCAGGGGUGCACUAUCGACCGAUCUGGAUUUUUUUUGAAGGAUUUGAGUAUGAGCAUAUCUGUUGGGACCCGAAAGAUGGUGAACUAUGCCUGCAUAGGGUGAAGUCGAGGGAAACCUCGAUGGAAGCUCGUAGCGAUACUGACGUGCAAAUCGUUCGUCAAAUGUGGGUAUAGGGGCGAAAGACUAAUCGAACCAUCUAGUAGCUGGUUCCCUCCGAAGUUUCCCUAAGGAUAGCUGGAACUUAUACAGUUUUGUCAGGUAAAGCGAAUGAUUAGAGGUCCUGGGAAUGAAACAUUCUCAACCUAUUCUCAAACUUUAAAUAGGCAAGAAGCUGCAGUUUCCCAAACGAACUGUGGCGUGGAAUGAAAGUUCUUAGUGGGCCAUUUUUGGUAAGCAGAACUGGCGAUGCGGGAUGAACCGAACGUUGAGUUAAAGUGCCAAACUAGUCGCUCAUCAGAUCCCACAAAAGGUGUUGGUGCAUUAAGACAGCAGGACGG
rnacentral:rRNA from 1 species